GCUGCUUCCCAAUCACUUUCGACUGGUUGUCUCUCAUGGAUUCUCUCCUCUCUCCCUGAGUCGUUUACCGAGAAAGCGGAGCAGAAUAGAGGCCAUUAACUUUCAGUUGCCAGAUGAAAAACGCCUGUCACAGAAAUCUAGAGGCCGGCUUUGGCAGAUUAAUUAAAAUGAAAAUCGACAAUUCUAAAUGACAGCCAGGACUCCUCAAAAACACCCUUACUGAGCACCUGAUCUGUUCUACUGAUGUCAAGAACGCUUCUUGGGCCUCUGGUUUAACAGCAGGAGUCUACCGGGAGUCUAAUUAUAAUUCCUUUGGUAAUUAAAACAACAGAUGUUAUAA